rnacentral:rRNA from 1 species
UACGAAGGGGGCUAGCGUUGCUCGGAAUCACUGGGCGUAAAGCGCACGUAGGCGGCUUCCUAAGUCAGGGGUGAAAUCCUGGAGCUCAACUCCAGAACUGCCCUUGAUACUGAGGAGCUCGAGUCCGGGAGAGGUGAGUGGAACUGCGAGUGUAGAGGUGAAAUUCGUAGAUAUUCGCAAGAACACCAGUGGCGAAGGCGGCUCACUGGCCCGGUACUGACGCUGAGGUGCGAAAGCGUGGGGAGCAAACAGGAUUAGAAACCCCCGUAGUCC